CGUGCCGUGAGGUGUUGGGUUAAGUCCCGCAACGAGCGCAACCCUCACCCUAUGUUGCCAUCGGGUUAUGCCGGGCACUCUUAGGGAACUGCCGGCGAAGAGCUGGAGGAAGGGGGGGAUGACGUCAAGUCCGUAUGCCCCUUAUAUCCAGGGCUACACACAUGCUACAAUGGCCGGUAUAGAGGGUUCCCAACCCGCGAGGGGGAGGCAAUCCCAGAAAGCCGGUCUCAGUUCGGAUUGCAGGCUGCAACUCGCCUGCAUGAAGUCGGAAUCGCUAGUAAGCGCAGAUCAGCAGGCUGCGCUGAAUACGUUCCCGGGCCUU
rnacentral:rRNA from 1 species